ensembl:ncRNA K10D6.23 ncRNA
CUCAAAUGCUGUAUCGUAAUGAUAGGUGUGGAACCAUGUGAGAAGACAAUCAACUCCAUCGGGAGCGAUAAAAGUGUUGAAUGAGAAGGAGGAUGAAUGAGGAGAAGGAUGAGGAUAAGAUUGUAUUGUGAUAAACAUUC